rnacentral:rRNA from 1 species
UACGAAGGGGGCGAGCGUUGUUCGGAAUUACUGGGCGUAAAGGGCGCGUAGGCGGCUUAUCAAGUCAGGCGUGAAAUUCCCGGGCUCAACCUGGGGGCUGCGCUUGAUACUGAUUGGCUUGAAUGCGGGAGAGGAUAGUGGAAUUCCCAGUGUAGAGGUGAAAUUCGUAGAUAUUGGGAAGAAACACCGGUGGGCGAAGGGCGACUACCUGGCCUGUUCUUGACGCUGAGGCGGCGAAAAGCUAGGGGAGCAAACGGG